CGAGUGAAGCGGCAAGAGCUCAAAUUUGAAAGCUGGCCCCUCCGGGGUCCGCGUUGUAAUUUGCAGAGGAUGCUUUGGGUGCGGCCCCCGUCUAAGUGCCCUGGAACGGGCCGUCAGAGAGGGUGAGAAUCCCGUCUUGGGCGGGGUGUCCGUGCCCGUGUAAAGCUCCUUCGACGAGUCGAGUUGUUUGGGAAUGCAGCUCUAAAUGGGUGGUAAAUUUCAUCUAAAGCUAAAUACUGGCCGGAGACCGAUAGCGCACAAGUAGAGUGAUCGAAAGAUGAAAAGCACUUUGAAAAGAGAGUUAAACAGCACGUGAAAUUGUUGAAAGGGAAGCGCUUGCGACCAGACUCGCCCUCGGGGUUCAGCCGGCACUCGUGCCGGUGUACUUCCCCGGGGGCGGGCCAGCGUCAGCUUGGGCGGCCGGUCAAAGGCCUCCGGAAUGUAGUGCCCCCCGGGGCACCUUAUAGCCGGAGGUGCAAUGCGGCCAGCCUGGGCUGAGGAAC
rnacentral:rRNA from 1 species